ACUUGCAUGAGAGAAUCAUGGAAGGAUCUGGUUGGAUGAUGAACUUGCAUGAUUGGUUCACGUUUUCGUUGGCGGUUUGGAGUAAUUUAGUUGCUAGCUGCAUUUUUCGAGAUUUUUGUUUCUUUUUGUAAAAGAGAAUCAGGAAGGAACAGGAGGAUCUGGUUGGAGAUCUGAAUGAAAUUAUGAGAAUUUUCCUUCUUCUGAUGUUUGUGAGAGAAUCGUGAUCGAACAGAAGUUUUCGAUUGGUCUGCUGGGGACCAGUGAGAGAUUUCCUUCUUGCAUCUGUGAGACAAUUUCUGCUGGAUCUUUGUGUCCUUCUGCAUUAAGAGAUUCAGCGAUAACAACGAUUUUC